rnacentral:tRNA from 1 species
GCAGGGGUCCCGUAGUCUGGUCAAUCGGAUCAGCCUUAGGAGCUGAUGGCUUAGUGCCUUCGUGAGUUCAAAUCUCACCCCCUGCA